CAACAAGGUCCUUGGAAUUAAACCACAGCUAGAAGCUGAAGAAGCGAAAAAUCGUUAUGAACGAAAUGGCACACGCGCCUUACGAUUCGAGGAUCAAGAAUGUAAAAAAUCAGAAAAGGUACGAGAAUGUGUGGAGGAAAUAUUUUCAGAAAAGCAUGUGCCUGAGCUCUUAGGAUGUAAGAAGAGCAUCAUCCGCGGAUUUAAUAUAACAUUAAAUAUAUGCCAACAAAAGGUUAAAGUCCGUGGCGCUAGAGGCAGUGGCAUGAAGUCUUUACCUUCAGACGUAUUAGUUUUGGGCACUGCAGUAAUGCUGAUUAAACUAACACU